GACGAACGCUGGCGGCGUGCUUAACACAUGCAAGUCGAACGGAAAGGCCCUGCUUUUGUGGUGUGCUCGAGUGGCGAACGGGUGAGUAACACGUGAGUAACCUGCCCUUGACUUUGGGAUAACUUCAGGAAACUGGGGCUAAUACCGGAUAGGAGCUCCUGCUGCAUGGUGGGGGGUGGAAAUUUUCGGCGGUUGGGGAUGGACUCGCGGCUUAUCAGCUUGUUGGUGGGGUAGUGGCUUACCAAGGCUUUGACGGGUAGCCGGCCUGAGAGGGUGACCGGCCAAAUUGGGACUGAGAUACGGCCAAGACUCCUACGGGAGGAAGAAGUGGGGAAUAUUGCACAAUGGGCGGAAGCCUGAUGAAGCACCGCCGCGUGGGGGAUGACGGCCUUCGGGUUGUAACCCGCUUUCGCCUGUGACGAAGCGUGAGUGACGGUAAUGGGUAAAGAAGCACCGGCUAACUACGUG
rnacentral:rRNA from 1 species